GACGAACGCUGGCGGCGUGCUUAACACAUGCAAGUCGAACGGUGAACCUCUUCGGAGGGGAUCAGUGGCGAACGGGUGAGUAAGACGUGGGCAACCUGCCCCCGGCUCUGGGAUAACUCCAAGAAAUUGGGGCUAAUACCGCAUGUUCACCGCUUCCCGCAUGGGUGGUGGUGGAAAGGGUUUCCGGCUGGGGAUGGGCGCGGGGCCUAUCAGCUUGUUGGUGGGGUAGUGGCCUACCAAGGCGCCGACGGGUAGCCGGCCUGAGAGGGGAGCCGGCCACACUGGGACUGCGGGACGGCCCAGACUCCUACGGGAGGCAGCAGUGGGGAAUAUUGCGCAAUGGGCGGAAGCCUGUCGCAGCGACGCCGCGUGGGGGAUGACGGCCUUCGGGUUGUAAACCUCUUUCAGCAGGGACGAAGCGCAAGUGACGGUACCUGCAGAAGAAGCACCGGCUAACUACGUG
rnacentral:rRNA from 1 species